rnacentral:rRNA from 1 species
UACAGAGGGUGCGAGCGUUAAUCGGAAUUACUGGGCGUAAAGCGCGCGUAGGCGGCUUUGCAAGUCGGGUGUGAAAUCCCCAGGCUUAACCUGGGAACUGCAUUCGAGACUGCAUUGCUAGAGUAUGGGAGAGGGAAGUGGAAUUUCCGGUGUAGCGGUGAAAUGCGUAGAGAUCGGGAGGAACACCAGUGGCGAAGGCGGCCUUCUGGACCAAUACUGACGCUCAUGCACGAAAGCGUGGGGAGCAAACAGG